GACGAACGCUGGCGGCGUGCCUAACACAUGCAAGUCGAACGGUGAAGGCGGACCUUGCCCUGGUGGCACAGUGGGGAACGGGUGAGUAACAUGUGAGCCAUCUGCCCCUGACUGUGGGAUAAGCGCUGGAAACGGCGACUACUACUGGAUACGUGCUGCGAAGGCAUCUUCAGCUGCUGGCCAGAAUCUCGGUAAGGGAUGGGCUCGCGGGCUAACAGCUGGUUGGUGAGGUAAUGGCUCACCCAGGCGUCGACGGGUAGCCGGCCUGGGAGGGUGGACGGCCACACGGCGACUGAGACACGGCGCAGACUCCUACGUGAGGCAGCGGUGGAGAAUAUUGCACAGUGGGCGAAAGCCUGAUGCGGCAGCGCCGCGUGUGUGACGACGGCCUUCGUGUGGGAAACCUCUGUUAGCAGAUAAGAAGCGAAAUUGACGGUACCUGCAGAAAAAGCGCCGGCUAACUACGUG
rnacentral:rRNA from 1 species